GACGAACGCUGGCGGCGUGCUUAACACAUGCAAGUCGAACGGAAAGACCCUGCUUUUGUGGGGUGCUCGAGUGGCGAACGGGUGAGUAACACGUGAGUAAUCUGCCCUUGACUUUGGGAUAACUUCAGGAAACUGGGGCUAAUACCGGAUAGGAGCUCCUGCUGCAUGGUGGGGGUUGGAAAGUUUCGGCGGUUGGGGAUGGACUCGCGGCUUAUCAGCUUGUUGGUGGGGUAGUGGCUUACCAAGGCUUUGACGGGUAGCCGGCCUGAGAGGGUGACCGGCCACAUUGGGACUGAGAUACGGCCCAGACUCCUACGGGAGGCAGCAGUGGGGAAUAUUGCACAAUGGGCGGAAGCCUGAUGCAGCAACGCCGCGUGCGGGAUGACGGCCUUCGGGUUGUAAACCGCUUUCGCCUGUGACGAAGCGUGAGUGACGGUAAUGGGUAAAGAAGCACCGGCUAACUACGUG
rnacentral:rRNA from 1 species